CAGUUCGGAUUGUAGUCUGCAACUCGACUACAUGAAGCUGGAAUCGCUAGUAAUCGCAGAUCAGAAUGCUGCGGUGAAUACGUUCCCGGGUCUUGUACACACCGCCCGUCACACCAUGGGAGUCGGGAAUGCCCGAAGUCAGUGACCCAACCGCAAGGAGGGAGCUGCCGAAGGCAGGCUCGAUAACUGGGGUGAAGUCGUAACAAGGUAAC
rnacentral:rRNA from 1 species